AGGUUUCCGUAGGUGACCUGCGGAAGGAUCAUUA
rnacentral:rRNA from 8 species